rnacentral:lncRNA from 1 species
AGGCUUCCAAUUUAGAGAUUCCCACAUAUAGACUGGCCAUUACUCUGCCUUUUUUGUUCUCACAUGAAUCACUUCUCUUGGCUUCUCCACCACUCUAUCAUCAUUUCUCUUUCUUUUUUCUCCAUUCAAUCCCUGCAUACCAACUCCCAAAAUCAGCACAAAAACUUAAUAAUUUUAUUAUGAUUUUUCCAUUUACACAAAAUAAAUGAUUCAACACGAAAAAGAUAGAAAUAAAUAACUAAAUAAAAGAAAGACCAAUUAGCCUUAUUAUUUUCACUUAACAACCCAACAAGCCUGAGGUGGAGACAAAUUCAUAAAACUUUCAACAGUAAACCCCACUUCUUUGACGGGCUAUUACAUAUAUGGUGUAUAAAGUAAAUGAAUUAAUAAUAUGCAUUUUCCAACUAAUAAUUUGGACUAAAAUGUUAAACACUUCCUCGACCAGCCGCUAGACUCCAAAACUAACAAAAAUGGAAAAUGACUUGAGCUAUAGAAAUUUUUUUAAAUUAGGGAAUAUACAUAUAUAUGAAAAAUGAAGCUGGUAUCCACCAGGCCACCGCCACCCAAUGGGAGUUCAUCAGUCUAUUCACAAUUUCCC